UCCUACGGGAAGGCAGCAGUGAGGAAUAUUGGUCAAUGGGCGCAAGCCUGAACCAGCCAUCCCGCGUGCAGGAUGACGGCCCUAUGGGUUGUAAACUGCUUUUGUUUGCCAAGAAUGGUACCUACGUGUAGGUAUUUGACGGUAGCAAAUGAAUAAGGACCGGCUAACUCCGUGCCAGCAGCCGCGGUAAUACGGAGGGUCCAAGCGUUAUCCGGAUUUAUUGGGUUUAAAGGGUGCGCAGGCGGAUCUUUAAGUCAGUGGUGAAAUCUUGCCGCUUAACGGUAAAAUUGCCAUUGAUACUGAAGAUCUUGAAUGUAGUUGAGGUAGGCGGAAUGUGUUGUGUAGCGGUGAAAUGCAUAGAUAUGACACAGAACGCCAAUUGCGAAGGCAGCUUACUAAGCUACGAUUGACGCUGAGGCACGAAAGCGUGGGGAGCGAACAGGAUUAGAUACCCUGGUAGUCCAC
rnacentral:rRNA from 1 species